rnacentral:rRNA from 1 species
UACAGAGGUCUCAAGCGUUGUUCGGAUUCAUUGGGCGUAAAGGGCGCGUAGGCGGAUCUUUAAGUCGGGGGUGAAAGCCUGAGGCUCAACCUCAGAAUUGCCUUCGAUACUGGAGAUCUUGAGACCGGAAGAGGUGAGUGGAACUGCGAGUGUAGAGGUGAAAUUCGUAGAUAUUCGCAAGAACACCAGUGGCGAAGGCGGCUCACUGGUCCGGUUCUGACGCUGAGGCGCGAAAGCGUGGGGAGCGAACAGG